rnacentral:rRNA from 1 species
UACGUAGGGCGCAAGCGUUGUCCGGAAUUAUUGGGCGUAAAGAGCUCGUAGGCGGUUUGUCGCGUCUGCUGUGAAAACCUAAGGCUCAACCUUGGGCUUGCAGUGGGUACGGGCAGACUAGAGUGCGGUAGGGGUGACUGGAAUUCCUGGUGUAGCGGUGGAAUGCGCAGAUAUCAGGAGGAACACCCGAUGGCGAAGGCAGGUCACUGGGCCGCAACUGACGCUGAGGAGCGAAAGCAUGGGGAGCGAACAGG